AUGUUUCUUAGUACUGUGUUGAUUCCAUCUCUUCUUCUUUUUUCAUUAAAAACCUUUUAUAGCUUAUAUGACAUUUAGAGGAGUGAGAACAAUUUCACUCACUCUAUUACAAAGCAAUCACAACCAUUCAUCCCUAAGCCAUCAUGUAAGAUGCUUACACUUGUCAUGAGCUAUGACUCAUUACACUUUAAACUAAAUACCAAUUGGAAUAUGAUCUAACGGUUCACAUUAAAUCUUACACAUUGCUUAUAAUGUAACUAUCACAGCAAAUACAUUUAUACUCCAAUACUCCCUUCUAAAUGUUUUGCUGAUUUCACACCAAGAGUAGUUCUCAAGUAUUUGAAUCGAUCAUUAGGAAGAGCCUUGGUAAAGAUGUCUGCCAAUUGCUCCUCUGUGCUGCAAUAGUGUAGUUCAAUUGUCCCAUCUUGAAUGGCAUCUCUUAUGAAAUGAUACCUCCGAUUAAUAUGCCUGGUUUUAUGAUGAAACACUGGAUUCUUAGACAUAGCUAUGGCAGAAGUAUUGUCACAUAGAAAAGGCGUAGCCUCCACCUGUUCUUCUCCAAAAUCAGAUAAAACAAACCUCAACCACAUUGCUUGUGUUGUAGCUUCUGCAACACUUACAUACUCGGCUUCUGCAGUAGAUAAAGCCACACUGCAUUGUUUAACAGAAGCCCAAGAAAACAUUCCUGAACCUAAACUAAAUGCAUAACCCAAGGUACUCUUCAUGUCAUCCAAGCUUCCUGCCCAAUCACUAUCACAAUAGCCUAUCAAUACAGCAACUUUUCCUUUCACAUAUUCAAUCCCAAAAUCCAAUGUGCCUUGUACAUAUCUCAAGACUCUUUUAGCUGUCCCCAUGUGUUUUCUGGUAGGUUUAUUCAUGAACCUUGCCAGCAAACAUGAUGCAUACAUUAGAUCGGGUCUAGUAGCUGUCAGGUAUAACAGAUUACCAAUUAUUGUCCUGUACAAACUUUCAUUAGCAUCAUCACUCCCAUCUUCCUUAGAUAACUUGUCAUCAAUUGCAAGUGGGGUUUUCACAGCUUUACAAUCUUUCAAUCCAAAUUUCUCAAGUAGUGACUUGGCAUAUUUCUUCUGAUGAAUAAAUAUGCUCUUAUCAGUUUGAAUUAUGCCCAUACCAAGAAAGUGAUGUAACAGUCCCAGAUCUGACAUCUCAUAUUGCUUCAUCAUAUCCUUCUUAAAUUCUUGAAUCAUUUCAUCAGAAUUCCCUGUAUAGAUAAUGUCAUCUACAUACAGAGAUACAAUAAGCACACCUGCAUCACUGAACUUUGUAUACAGAUUAGCUUCACUUUGGCUUUUCUUAAAACCAGAUCGAUUGAAAUAAUUGUCUAUCUCAUCGUACCAAGCUCUGGGAGGUUGUUUCAGACCAUAUAAGGCCUUUUUCAACUUGUAAACCUUGUCUUCUUGUCCUUGAACUUCAAAUCCCUGUGGUUGAUCCAUAUAUACUUCCUCAUGCAGUGUACCAUUUAGGAAUGGAGACUUAACAUCUAAUUGAAGCAAUUUCCAUUCCUUUUGAGCUGCCAAUGCAAUUAGAGUUCUAAUGGUAUCAAGUCUUGCCACAAGUGCAAAGGUCUCGUUGAAGUCCACUCCAGGCUUUUAAGAAUAGCCCUUAGCCACUAGCCGUGCCUUGUUCUUCUGCACUGAACCAUCUAGAUUAAGCUUUGUUUUGUAGACCCAUUUUACACCAAUUACAGGUUUAUCAAAUGGCCUUUUGACUAACUCCCAUGUGUCAUUCUUUUCGAUCAUCUCAAUCUCUGUGGACAUAGCUUUUCUCCAAGCUUCAUCUCCUGAUGCUUCUUCAAAAAAUUCAGGCUCUAUUACAUAGAAAUUGCACAUUUCAUAGAUAUCAUUCAAGCUUCUGAACCUUAAAGGAGUAUGAUCAUACACUUGUGAACCAGUGUGAUCCAUAUCCCACAAAAAUCAAAAUUUUCUCCAUUAAAAAUCGGUGCUCGAAGAUCAACACCACUCGAUCCAGCCAUAUUAGACUUGUUAUCGAGUUACCCAGAGAUUUUCAGAUCGUUCUUCAAUCGAAGCAAACUCGAUUCUCUGUUGAAUUCCUCAGCUGCGAACCUUGUCACAGAUUCACGCCCAGAUUGAGAUCCAACCUGGCUCUGAUGCCAUAUUAGAGUUUGGUUUCUGUGUAAGUUUCAAUGGAAGUUUUAAAAGCUCAGUGAAAAUACAUCGAAGAAGAAUGAGAGAAAUGUUUCUUAGUACUAUGUUGAUUCCAUCUCUUCUUCUUUUUUCAUUAAAAACCUUUUACAGCUUAUAUGACAUUUAUAGGAGUGUGAACAAUUUCACUCAUUCUAUUACAAAGCAAUCACAACUAUUCAUUCUUAAGCCAUCAUGUAAGAUGCUUACACUUGUCAUGAGCUAUGACUCAUUACACUCUAAACUAAAUACCAAUUGGAAUAUGAUCCAACGGUUCACAUUAAAUCCUACACAUUGCUUAUAAUGUAACUAUCACAACAAAUACAUUUAUACUCCAAUACCGCCACCGUCGACACCACCAGUACCUCUAAAUCCCCAUUCAAAGUUCCCACGUGCGACCCAAGCCUGUCCGUCUAUGUAUACCCUUUGCCGGCCAAGUUCAACCUUGGAUUGCUGAGCCAUUAUCACGCUCUAAACCUUUAUACCAACAUGUGUCCCCAUGUGGCGAACAACGGCCUCGGCCAGCCGCAUCCCAAAUUAGGCUUCGCCGCCUCGUGGUUCGCCACCCAUCAGCUCAUUGCCAAGAUGAUCUUCCACGUACGAGUGGAGAAUCACGCCUGCCGCACUCUUGAUCCAACACGUGCCGCUAUCUUCUACGUUCCUUAAUACGGCGGCCUCCACGCCUCCAGCAAGUUCAAGGAAGCCAACCUCACCGCUCGCGACGAGGUCGCCUUUGACUUGGUCGACUACGUUCAGUCCCAGCCUUGGUAGAAGAAGCACAACGGUAGGGACCAUUUUAUCGCCCUUGGGAGGACCGCGUGGGAUUUCAUGAGGGUCACCGAUGGUCC
rnacentral:lncRNA from 1 species